rnacentral:rRNA from 1 species
UGAACGCUAGCUACAGGCUUAACACAUGCAAGUCGAGGGGCAGCAUGGUCUUAGCUUGCUAAGGCCGAUGGCGACCGGCGCACGGGUGAGUAACACGUAUCCAACCUGCCGUCUACUCUUGGACAGCCUUCUGAAAGGAAGAUUAAUACAAGAUGGCAUCAUGAGUCCGCAUGUUCACAUGAUUAAAGGUAUUCCGGUAGACGAUGGGGAUGCGUUCCAUUAGAUAGUAGGCGGGGUAACGGCCCACCUAGUCUUCGAUGGAUAGGGGUUCUGAGAGGAAGGUCCCCCACAUUGGAACUGAGACACGGUCCAAACUCCUACGGGAGGCAGCAGUGGGGAAUAUUGGUCAAUGGGCGAGAGCCUGAACCAGCCAAGUAGCGUGAAGGAUGACUGCCCUAUGGGUUGUAAACUUCUUUUAUAAAGGAAUAAAGUCGGGUAUGUAUACCCGUUUGCAUGUACUUUAUGAAUAAGGAUCGGCUAACUCCGUG